rnacentral:rRNA from 1 species
UGGCCGCAGGCCUACACAUGCAGUCGAGCGGUAGCACAGAGAGCUUGCUCUCGGGUGACGAGCGGCGGACGGGUGAGUAAUGUCUGGGAAACUGCCUGAUGGAGGGGGAUAACUACUGGAAACGGUAGCUAAUACCGCAUAACGUCGCAAGACCAAAGUGGGGGACCUUCGGGCCUCAUGCCAUCAGAUGUGCCCAGAUGGGAUUAGCUAGUAGGUGGGGUAACGGCUCACCUAGGCGACGAUCCCUAGCUGGUCUGAGAGGAUGACCAGCCACACUGGAACUGAGACACGGUCCAGACUCCUACGGGAGGCAGCAGUGGGGAAUAUUGCACAAUGGGCGCAAGCCUGAUGCAGCCAUGCCGCGUGUGUGAAGAAGGCCUUCGGGUUGUAAAGCACUUUCAGCGGGGAGGAAGGCGAUAAGGUUAAUAACCUUGUCGAUUGACGUUACCCGCAGAAGAAGCACCGGCUAACUCCGUGCCAGCAGCCGCGGUAAUACGGAGGGUGCAAGCGUUAAUCGGAAUUACUGGGCGUAAAGCGCACGCAGGCGGUCUGUCAAGUCGGAUGUGAAAUCCCCGGGCUCAACCUGGGAACUGCAUUCGAAACUGGCAGGCUAGAGUCUUGUAGAGGGGGGUAGAAUUCCAGGUGUAGCGGUGAAAUGCGUAGAGAUCUGGAGGAAUACCGGUGGCGAAGGCGGCCCCCUGGACAAAGACUGACGCUCAGGUGCGAAAGCGUGGGGAGCAAACAGGAUUAGAUACCCUGGUAGUCCACGCCGUAAACGAUGUCGAUUUGGAGGUUGUGCCCUUGAGGCGUGGCUUCCGGAGCUAACGCGUUAAAUCGACCGCCUGGGGAGUACGGCCGCAAGGUUAAAACUCAAAUGAAUUGACGGGGGCCCGCACAAGCGGUGGAGCAUGUGGUUUAAUUCGAUGCAACGCGAAGAACCUUACCUGGUCUUGACAUCCACAGAACUUAGCAGAGAUGCUUUGGUGCCUUCGGGAACUGUGAGACAGGUGCUGCAUGGCUGUCGUCAGCUCGUGUUGUGAAAUGUUGGGUUAAGUCCCGCAACGAGCGCAACCCUUAUCCUUUGUUGCCAGCGGUUCGGCCGGGAACUCAAAGGAGACUGCCAGUGAUAAACUGGAGGAAGGUGGGGAUGACGUCAAGUCAUCAUGGCCCUUACGACCAGGGCUACACACGUGCUACAAUGGCAUAUACAAAGAGAAGCGACCUCGCGAGAGCAAGCGGACCUCAUAAAGUAUGUCGUAGUCCGGAUUGGAGUCUGCAACUCGACUCCAUGAAGUCGGAAUCGCUAGUAAUCGUAGAUCAGAAUGCUACGGUGAAUACGUUCCCGGGCCUUGUACACACCGCCCGUCACACCAUGGGAGUGGGUUGCAAAAGAAGUAGGUAGCUUAACCUUCGGGAGGGCGCUACC